GAUGAACGCUAGCUACAGGCUUAACACAUGCAAGUCGAGGGGAAACGGCAUUAAGUGCUUGCACUUUUUGGACGUCGACCGGCGCACGGGUGAGUAACGCGUAUCCAACCUUCCCAUGACUAAGGGAUAACCUGCCGAAAGGCAGACUAAUACCUUAUGGUCUUCACUGACGGCAUCAGAUGUGAAGUAAAGAUUUAUCGGUUUUGGAUGGGGAUGCGUCUGAUUAGCUUGUUGGCGGGGUAACGGCCCACCAAGGCAACGAUCAGUAGGGGUUCUGAGAGGAAGGUCCCCCACAUUGGAACUGAGACACGGUCCAAACUCCUACGGGAGGCAGCAGUGAGGAAUAUUGGUCAAUGGGCGAGAGCCUGAACCAGCCAAGUAGCGUGCAGGAUGACGGCCCUAUGGGUUGUAAACUGCUUUUGUAUGGGGAUAAAGUCAAUCACGUGUGAUUGUUUGCAGGUACCAUACGAAUAAGGACCGGCUAAUUCCGUG
rnacentral:rRNA from 1 species